rnacentral:misc_RNA from 1 species
CGGUUCCGCUGAGCCAGGCAGUAGAUCCCGAAGACCCCGCCAAGUCUCCGCCAGCCUCCCCCAAUUCCUCCACUCGAAAGGCUUGCUGUGCUGUUCUCCAAAGCUGGGUGUCAAAAAAGUUUAUGACUGGAUGUGUAGUUCUCUUUCCUGUAGCAGUUACCUUCUUCAUCACAUGGUGGUUUAUUCAGUUUGUUGAUGGCUUCUUCAG